rnacentral:rRNA from 1 species
CAGCCGCCGCGGUAAUACGUAGGUGGCAAGCGUUGUCCGGAAUUAUUGGGCGUAAAGGGCUCGCAGGCGGUUUCUUAAGUCUGAUGUGAAAGCCCCCGGCUCAACCGGGGAGGGUCAUUGGAAACUGGGAAACUUGAGUGCAGAAGAGGAGAGUGGAAUUCCACGUGUAGCGGUGAAAUGCGUAGAGAUGUGGAGGAACACCAGUGGCGAAGGCGACUCUCUGGUCUGUAACUGACGCUGAGGAGCGAAAGCGUGGGGAGCGAACAGGAUUAGAUACCCGCGUAGUCCCUGUCUUUUAUAA